GAUGAACGCUAGCUACAGGCUUAACACAUGCAAGUCGAGGGGCAGCAGGGAUUUAGCUUGCUAAAUCCGCUGGCGACCGGCGCACGGGUGCGUAACGCGUAUCCAACUUUCCCGUUACUCAGGGAUAGCCUUCCGAAAGGGAGAUUAAUACCUGAUGGUGUUCAAAUUCCGCAUGUUAUUUGAACUAAAGAUUUAUCGGUAACGGAUGGGGAUGCGUGACAUUAGAUAGUAGGCGGGGUAACGGCCCACCUAGUCUACGAUGUCUAGGGGUUCUGAGAGGAAGGUCCCCCACACUGGAACUGAGACACGGUCCAGACUCCUACGGGAGGCAGCAGUGGGGAAUAUUGCACAAUGGGGGAAACCCUGAUGCAGCAACGCCGCGUGAAGGAAGACGGUCUUCGGAUUGUAAACUUUUGUUCUUAGUGAAGAAACAUGACGGUAGCUAAGGAGAAAGCCACGGCUAACUACGUG
rnacentral:rRNA from 1 species